rnacentral:rRNA from 1 species
AAUGAACGUUGGCGGCGUGGAUUAGGCAUGCAAGUCGCGCGACAAGGAACCUUCGGGUUCUGGAGGAGCGGCAAACGGGGUAGUAAGGCAUCGGAACGUACCCUCUUGUUGGGAAUAGCCGCGGGAAACUGCGAGUAAUGCCCAAUAAUCCCUACGGGGCAAAGGUCCGCCGCAGGAGGAGCGGCCGAUGUGAUACCAGCUAGUUGGUGAGGUAAUGGCUCACCAAGGCUUAGACGUCUAGGGGGUGUGAGAGCAUGGCCCCCACCACUGGGACGUGAGAUACUGCCCACGACACCUACCGGGU